rnacentral:ribozyme from 13 species
CUCCAAGUCUUUCUUUUUCAUUUUGGUUCCUUCAUCCUUCUGUUUGGACUCUUUCCCUCCCAUUAUGUCCUCACAAAGCAAUCUCUCAAGAAACAGUCUGUUUUCUUGAGUGUCAAAAAAGAAAAAGAAAUAACCAUCCCUUUCCUCAAUUUUUCAGAAAGAGAAAGAGAAAGAGAAAGA